UACAGAGGGGGCAAGCGUUGUUCGGAAUUACUGGGCGUAAAGGGCGCGUAGGCGGCCCGCUAAGUCGAACGUGAAAUCCCCGAGCUCAACUCGGGAACUGCGUCCGAUACUGGUGGGCUUGAAUCCGGGAGAGGGAUGCGGAAUUCCUGGUGUAGCGGUGAAAUGCGUAGAGAUCAGGAAGAACACCGGUGGCGAAGGCGCUCUGCUAGGCCGUAACUGACACUGAGGGACGAAAGCCAGGGGAGCAAACAGG
rnacentral:rRNA from 1 species